rnacentral:sRNA from 1 species
CAUGACAGCUAUUUUACGACAAAUGGAAGAUUACCAUUAUGCCCACUUGAUCAAGACUUUUGGGAAAAUGAGGACUGAUGUGGUAGAUUUCCUAAUGGAAACAUUCAUCAUGUUUAAGAACCUCAUUGGAAAGAACGUUUACCCCUUCGACUGGGUGAUCAUGAACAUGGUGCAAAAUAAGUAAGUGUGGGGAGAACGGCUCUCACCUUUUCUAUGGCUCCCAAUUCAUGUCUGCUGGGAACAGUGGUGUUGCCUGGAGACCAAGCUGGCUUCAAUAAAAUGCUCUGCAAACGCUGUUCCUAAUUCUGUGCUGCAGACAGUUCUAGGGAGACAGGGACACUGAGUUUGUGGUGACUUCCUUAUGACAACACAGGGCUCUGGCUCUAAGAACUUGAGCUCCGUCCCCUGGAGAAAAACAGCCUGAAGCUGGAUCUCCCCUAGCCGUCAUCAUGGGCACAGGGGUUCUGCUCGGCGUCGCUCUGCGCUCUCAUGUUACCCACAUAUUUGUAUCAGCCCUAGGCACUGUCAGCUCCAUGCAA